UACGGAGGAGGCAAGCGUUAUCCGGAAUUAUUGGGCGUAAAGCGUCCGUAGGUGGCUAGUCAAGUCUGCGGUCAAAGACUGGGGCUUAACCCUGGAAAGGCCGUGGAAACUGACGAGCUAGAGUGCAGUAGGGAUAGAGGGAAUUCCCGGUGUAGCGGUGAAAUGCGUAGAGCUCGGGAAGAACAUCGGUGGCGAAAGCGCUCUACUGGACUGCAACUGACACUCGGGGACGAAAGCUAGGGGAGCGAAUGGG
rnacentral:rRNA from 1 species